rnacentral:lncRNA from 1 species
GCUAGAACAACUGUUUGGUCCUAUCAGAGUGCCAUGCCUGCCAGACAUGCUCUGAAUGUAUACAGCAGUGCCACGAGAGCUGCUCUUCUCUGCUGAGAUGGUUAUGGUUAGAAUUGGUUUCUAGCACAAAGCCUUAGAUACAUUUAUUUUUUCUUUAAGACAGUAUUUUAGGGCUCAGAAACUAAUGCAGUCACUGGUCUUGCCCUUCAGCUGCAGCUGAAGAUCUUGCAGGGGAGCUUGGGACAAGAGAAUGUGCAAAGGUUGAUUUAUUUUUCCUUGGAUUCCUUGAUCUUGAGUUAGUUGGCUGUGACCCUUUGUAUAACUGCACUAGCCCAAUGUGUGCCAUAGGACAAUCAUUUUAAGUCAUGUGGAUUAUAUCCAAUGGGUUUUCCAGAGUUCAAGAAAAGUUGCAUGCUGCUCUGUUGGUGAGUGGGAAAUUAAUUGCUUCUAGCUGGUUCCUCGGUCACCAGGUGAUGUCUCCUCAGCCACGAGGCAGUCCUCCGGUGAGCAGGGUCUGCCUUCCAGUGGUGCAAAGUCUCUUAGCACAUGCAACAGAGGAGUGGGUGCUCUUGCCAAUGGGAGCCAUUGGUUUCCUGUAUUACCAAUGCACCCAAACUAUUGGCUGUCUAAACUGGUGGAAGCGAAGAACAGCUUACCUUAAGCAACCCCGGGCUGCAACGGUCAAUGAUACAGUAUAAAUAUUUGUUUGUCUGAUUAACAUCUUCAGCUGAUUUGCAGCCCUGUCUGUCAGAGGAGGAGAGGGAGUCUCAACAGGCUCUCCAGCACCAUGUGCCCAGGGAACAAAGCCCAUUGCUCUGGCAGGCAUUACUCACUAGCAGAUUUUGACCACUUGUCUGUGCUCACUGGCUGAAGACUUGAGAAGAAGUUGGUAUUGUGGGGAUGGGCUCAUGCAUGAGGGCAUGGAGAAGUUGUGCAGGUGUAAGGUGGCUGAGAAGAACCAUGGAAAGUGGACAGAGGUCUUUAUGGUGCUACAUCAUUUUGAUUGACCUUCAAAAUGAAGAGGAGAGGACACAGACUGACACACAGAGCCCUCUGUGAGGUCUUGCAGCGAGGGGUACAUGUUCACACCCACAGCAAUCUUUCUGUGUAAAGAGAUACUCUUUCACACCAGUGCUUAUGAAAGAGAAAAUAAAAUGGCUAAAACACACUUACA